rnacentral:RNase_P_RNA from 1 species
CGAGCGGGCCAGACGGCCGCGUGCCCUUCGGGGUGCGAGGAAAGUCCGGGCUCCGCAGGGCAAGAUGCCAGCUAACGGCUGGGCGGGGCGACCCGACGGAAAGUGCCACAGAAAAGAAGACUCCCCCGCAUGAAACGUGUCGCCUGCGCGGCACGCACGAAACGGGAGAAAAGCUGAAACGGUGCGGUAAGAGCGCACCAGCGCGCUGGCAACAGCGCGGCUUGGUAAACCCCAUCUGGAGCAAGCGCAAAUAGGAGCGCCAUACGGUGGCCCGCCGUGCGCUCGGGUUGCGUGCUAGAGGCGCGAGGCGACUCGCGUUCGAGAUAAAUGGCCGUCCCCGACAGAACCCGGCUUAUAGGCCCGCUCGUUUU